AAUUCGAAAUUUUUUAGCGAAAUAUUAAAAUAAAAAAACAAACAGACAUAAUUCGCGUAAUAGGUGGGGGCCACUGUUGUCGGUGAGAAGUUGGGAAGGUAGAAGAGAAAUUUAAUGUAAAUCUGUACGCAACGAUUAAGCAUUACUAACGAAAAACGACUCUGAGCUGAGUUUUUCCCCGGUUUUCCCUAUUUAUUAUGAAACCCCCCCGCGAAAAUCAAAAAAUAA